AUUGAACGCUGGCGGCAGGCCUAACACAUGCAAGUCGAACGCGUGGCGGACGGGUGAGUAAUGUCUGGGAAACUGCCCGCUGGAGGGGGAUAACUCCUGGAAACGGUAGCUAAUACCGCAUACCAUCGGAUGUGCCCAGAUGGGAUUAGCUUGUAGGUGAGGUAACGGCUCACCAAGGCGACUAUCCCUAGCUGGUCUGAGAGGAUGACCAGACACACUGGAAAUGAGACACGGGCCAGACUCCGACGGGAGGCAGCAGUGGGGAAUAGUGCACAAUGGGCGCAAGCCUGAUGCAGCCAUGCCGCGUGGAUGAAGAAGGCCGUCGGGUUGUAAAGUACGUUCAGCGGGGAGGCGUUACCCGCAGAAGAAGCACCGGAUAACUCCGUGCCAGCAGCCGCGGUAAUUC
rnacentral:rRNA from 1 species